rnacentral:rRNA from 16 species
UAGUAGCGGCGAGCGAACGGGGACCAGCCGAGCCUUGAGUGUGAGAAGAACAUGUUGGGAAGCAUGGCCAUAGCGGGUGAUAGCCCCGUAUUCGAAGCAUGAUGGGACGUAUUAAGUAGGGCGGAACACGUGAAAUUCUGUCUGAAGAUCGGAGGACCACCUUCGAAGGCUAAGUACUCCUUACUGACCGAUAGUGAACCAGUACC